rnacentral:rRNA from 1 species
UACGUAGGGUGCAAGCGUUAAUCGGAAUUACUGGGCGUAAAGCGUGCGCAGGCGGUUAUGUAAGACAGAUGUGAAAUCCCCGGGCUUAACCUGGGAACUGCAUUUGUGACUGCAUAGCUAGAGUACGGUAGAGGGGGAUGGAAUUCCGCGUGUAGCAGUGAAAUGCGUAGAUAUGCGGAGGAACACCGAUGGCGAAGGCAAUCCCCUGGACCUGUACUGACGCUCAUGCACGAAAGCGUGGGGAGCAAACAGGG